UACGGGGGGGGCAAGCGUUGUUCGGAAUUACUGGGCGUAAAGGGCUCGUAGGUGGCCAACUAAGUCGGACGUGAAAUCCCUCGGCUUAACCGGGGAACUGCGUCCGAUACUGGAUGGCUUGAGUUUGGGAGAGGGAUGCGGAAUUCCAGGUGGUAGCGGUGAAAUGCGUAGAUAUCUGGAGGAACACCGGUGGCGAAGGCGGCAUCCUGGACCAACACUGACACUGAGGAGCGAAAGCCAGGGGAGCAAACGGG
rnacentral:rRNA from 1 species